GACGAACGCUGGCGGCGUGCCUAAUACAUGCAAGUAGGACGCACAGUCUAUACCGUAGCUUGCUACACCAUAGGCUGUGAGUUGCGAACGGGUGAGUAACGCGUAGGUAACCUGCCUAUUAGAGGGGGAUAACUAUUGGAAACGAUAGCUAAUACCGCAUAACAGUAUGUAACACAUGUUAGAUGCUUGAAAGAUGCAAUUGCAUCGCUAGUAGAUGGACCUGCGUUGUAUUAGCUAGUAGGAAGGGUAAUGGCCUACCUAGGCGACGAUACAUAGCCGAACUGAGAGGGUGGUCGGCCACACUGGGACUGAGACACGGCCCAGACUCCUACGGGAAGCAGCAGUAGGGAAUCUUCGGCAAUGGGGGGAACCCUGACCGAGCAACGCCGCGUGAGUGAAGAAGGUUUUCGGAUCGUAAAGCUCUGUUGUUAAGGAAGAACGAGUGUGAGAAUGGAAAGUUCAUACUGUGACGGUACUUAACCAGAAAGGGACGGCUAACUACGUG
rnacentral:rRNA from 1 species